rnacentral:lncRNA from 1 species
AAAAGAGUAGAGCUCUCCAAAGCCUAGGGAUUGGCCAGUCAGCUCUUGUGCCUUAGAACCAGUGUGGUUGGACACAAGAAGCUCCGGAUCACGGCCUAAUUGGUGCAGCAACUCUUCACAGCUUUGCGCACACUUCACACUUCAACUUCACCUCUUCAUGGAACCGGUUUGAAGUCUCCCCCUCUCAACUGACUUCACAGCAAUCUUAGAGAAGCUAGGACACAACCAGAUCAUCUUUAAAACACCAGUGAGGCUGAUCAACACUUCACACAUGGCUUGCCCUCUUCAUAGAACUGGUUUGGAUCUCCCCCUCUCAACAGACUUCGCAGUCACCUUACA